rfam:Sporothrix insectorum RCEF 264 scaffold_37, whole genome shotgun sequence.
GCUUGAAUAGUUUAAAGGUAAAACCUUAUUUUCAUACGAUAAAGAUAGGUGUUCAAUUCACCUUUCAAGCU